GACGAACGCUGGCGGCGUGCCUAAUACAUGCAAGUAGAACGCACAGUUUAUACCGUAGCUUGCUACACCAUAGACUGUGAGUUGCGAACGGGUGAGUAACGCGUAGGUAACCUGCCUGGUAGCGGGGGAUAACUAUUGGAAACGAUAGCUAAUACCGCAUAAUAUUGAUUAUUGCAUGAUAAUUAAUUGAAAGGUGCAAUUGCACCACUACCAGAUGGACCUGCGUUGUAUUAGCUAGUAGGUGAGGUAACGGCUCACCUAGGCGACGAUACAUAGCCGACCUGAGAGGGUGAUCGGCCAAACUGGGACUGAGACACGGCCCAGACUCCUACGGGAGGCAGCAGUAGGGAAUCUUCGGCAAUGGACGAAAGUCUGACCGAGCAACGCCGCGUGAGUGAAGAAGGGUUUCGGAUCGUAAAGCUCUGUUGUAAGAGAAGAACGGGUGUGAGAGUGGAAAGUUCACACUGUGACGGUAUCUUACCAGAAAGGGACGGCUAACUACGUG
rnacentral:rRNA from 1 species